AACGAACGCUGGCGGCGCGCCUAAUACAUGCAAGUCGAGCGAGAAGACGUAGCAAUACGUUUGUAAAGCGGCGAACGGGUGAGGAAUACAUGGGUAACCUACCCUCGAGUGGGGAAUAACUAGCCGAAAGGUUAGCUAAUACCGCGUACGCUCCUUGGACUUCGGUUCAGGGAGGAAAGCGAUACCGUGGGUAUCGCGCUCUUGGAUGGGCUCAUGUCCUAUCAGCUUGUUGGNGAGGUAACGGCUCACCAAGGCUUCGACGGGUAGCUGGUCUGAGAGGACGAUCAGCCACACUGGCACUGCGACACGGGCCAGACUCCUACGGGAGGCAGCAGUAAGGAAUAUUGCGCAAUGGGCGAAAGCCUGACGCAGCGACGCCGCGUGGGGGAUGAAGGUCUUCGGAUUGUAAACCCCUUUCGGGAGGGAAGAUGGAACGAGCAAUCGUUCGGACGGUACCUCC
rnacentral:rRNA from 1 species